UACGUAGGUGGCAAGCGUUGUCCGGAUUUACUGGGCGUAAAGGGCGUGCAGGCGGUUUGUUAAGUGCAGGGUGAAAGCUCCCGGCUCAACUGGGAGAGGUCCUUGCAUACUGGCAAACUCGAGGGAGGCAGAGGAAAGUGGAAUUCCCGGUGUAGUGGUGAUAUGCGUAGAUAUCGGGAGGAACACCUGUGGCGAAGGCGGCUUUCUGGGC
rnacentral:rRNA from 1 species